UACGUAGGCAGCGAGCGUUGUUCGGAGUUACUGGGCGUAAAGCGUGCGCAGGCGGUUUUGUAAGUCUGUCGUGAAAUCCCCGGGCUCAACCUGGGAAUGGCGAUGGAGACUGCAAGGCUAGAGUGUGUCAGAGGGGGGUAGAAUUCCACGUGUAGCAGUGAAAUGCGUAGAGAUGUGGAGGAACACCGAUGGCGAAGGCAGCCCCCUGGGAUAACACUGACGCUCAUGCACGAAAGCGUGGGGAGCAAACAGG
rnacentral:rRNA from 1 species